rnacentral:pre_miRNA from 1 species
ACAGACUCCAUUUUUCAGUAUUUGGAUACAAUGUUUGAUUAUUCGUCUUAUUUAAAAUUUUUAUAUGAUUAAUAUUGUUAUUGUUGUUAGACAAUAAAACAUCAAUAAUACUUUAUGCUGACUAUUUUUAUAACUUUUUUUAAUAAUUUUUUUAAAUAAGACGGACGGUUAAACAUUGGACAGAAGAUAGUACAUAUC